UCAUCAAAACUCUCAAGGGUUAUUAUUGCUAAACAAAUUUUAUUCCAACACAUUUUACAUACAUAAUCAAUCAAACAAUAUGUUACUCGCAUUUCUUUUUACUUUAUAUUUAGUUAUGUUUUUAUUAGCUUAGUUCUCAAAAAUCACAACGGAAGAACGUAGUUUCUUUCUACUUUAUACUUACACUCUUUAAAGAAUGGAAGAACAUCGUUUCUUUCUUGGCAUAAUCGUUUGGAGGAAAAGAGAAUCAUUGUUGAGAUCUAUUAGCCAGUUCAUCAGCUAAUUUGGCAACAAUUUGUAAUAAUAAAAUUGUUGUAUUAAUAAAAACAAAGCAAGGUGAGGACUAAAAAUUACCAAAUAACUGUGUGAAUAUUGGUAAUAAGAUAGGAAAUAAGAGAAGGAGUGAUAAAGAAAGGGGUAAGGGCUACAAGGGUCAGUGGCCCCAAACCAUCAUCUACGAAGGACACAGUAGCCUGUGCAAUAGCAGCAUGUACAAUAGUGACAUAUUUUACCCUCCAAUUCAUCACUCUUUGCUAGCAAGAAAACUUUUAAAUUUUACCACACAUAAUUAAUUUUCCAAUACAAAUUAAAUGAAAGAAAACACACAUAGAAAGAGAUAUUGUUAUAUAUGCAUACGGGUGGACAAGCAUGCAUGUAAAGUAGCAAAAUAAAUUAUUUAAAUAUUCAUAUGACACAAAAUGAUUGAGGAAUAUAACAAGAGAGGGUAGCUAAAUUUUACACACAAGAAAACAAUAGCCAGAAGAUAAAUAGCUAGGUAUAUUGUUUUCUUCUCCUCGUCUCUUCAUUACUCUUGUCUCCUUAGAUCCUUUCCUCUUGCAACCUUUUUGCUCUCAAUCUGUGAGUUUUUUUUUCUACUUUUUCUUCUGACAUGAAAAAAACAACCACAAAAAAAUCAAAUAUAUAUAUAUUUCAGCUCUUUCUAGCUUCUUUAAAUUAUUUUGUUAUAUAGUUUCUUUAAUUUAACUGAUCUCUUUUUUGUUAUCCUUGUUCCAUGAGAGAAGGAAACAUGUUAAUGAAAUUUUUCUUUUAGAAGAAGAAUUAAACAUUUGAUUAUUAAGUUUUUGUUUAAAAAUUUCAGAUUGCAAAAUAUAUAAUUAUGGCGGCUGCUUCUUCAUCUACAUCAUUCUUUGGAAUCAGAGAAGAAAAUCAAAGUCAAAUAACACAUCAUCAUCCUCAUCCUCAAUCAACUACUACUUCUGCUACUUCCUCAGCUCCUUCAACCACAGUUCCUCAAAAGAAAAGAAGGAAUCAACCUGGAACACCAAGCAAGUAGCUUAAUUAUUUUUAUUUUCAUUAUUACUUAAAGCUUCAACAUGCACACACCCUUCUCGAAUUUUUUUUUUUUUUUUUUUUUGUAUUAUUUUCUCAAAAAACAAGCAUAAUGAAACCCUAAAUCAUGAACAUGAGUUAGGGCUCUGAAUUUCUUUUACAAAAAAGCUAUAUAAGAACUAUGUUUAGGGUGCAUGCAGUCUCCUCCAAUUUUAUUCUCAAAAGCAUAUGAGACUUCGGUUUUAAUUUUUGUAAUAAUUUUUCUAACUUCUACUGUUUUUUACUACUAUUACCAUGAGUUUGUGGCUUUUAAAUGGAAAAAAUAACAAUAAAACAUAGUUCUUCAUUUCAUGGUGCAUAUAUAUUCAAUUAUGAAUACUUCUUUUGAUGUUAAAAAAACUAGAAUUUUAUAAUAUUUUUCUUAUACAAAAAAAUAUAUAAUAUUUUGUUGUUUUGGCAUUUUUCAUGGUAAAAAGAUCCAGAUGCAGAAGUGAUAGCACUAUCUCCCAAGACUCUAAUGGCAACAAAUAGAUUUAUAUGUGAGGUUUGCAAUAAAGGGUUUCAAAGGGAGCAAAAUCUUCAACUUCAUAGAAGAGGACACAAUCUUCCUUGGAAGCUAAAGCAAAAGUCCAACAAAGAGCCAAGGAGAAAGGUUUAUUUGUGUCCUGAGCCCACAUGCGUCCAUCACGACCCUUCAAGAGCUUUAGGAGAUCUAACUGGAAUUAAAAAGCAUUUCUCUCGUAAGCACGGUGAGAAGAAGUGGAAAUGUGAAAAAUGCUCAAAGAAAUAUGCUGUUCAAUCUGACUGGAAAGCACAUUCUAAGACUUGUGGUACUAGAGAAUAUAGAUGUGAUUGUGGCACCCUCUUCUCUAGGUAACAAACAUCAUCUUUAUAUUUAUAUCUUCACAUCGAUGUUAGUCUAAUUAUAUUUCAUAAAUAUGAAUUCAUCACUCUAUAUACAUAAUAUAUGCUACACUUUUGCCAAAUGUUAGGGUUAUACUUAUAUGGUUUGGUAUUGAAUAUUAUUUUAUUUUAUAGAAGUUAGUGUUUGAUUAUUUUUUUACUACCAAUUUUAUUAUAAGAAUUCGAUUAUUUUAAUCAUGUUUUUUUUCAUCAUUCAAUUGCAAGGAAAAUGGUCAUAAGUCAUAACAAUCUGAAGUUUUGCAAGAAAGCAAGUAAAAUCCAACCAAACCGUAGAUCAAACUCAUAGACUCCUUAUAUAUCGUUCUCUUUCUUUCCUCUUCGUAUUGAGCUCUAAUUUAUCUAAAUUGAAGUACUCUUUAAACUUCUUUACUAAGGAACCUUUUACAUAUAAAAAGGUGUGUGUAUAUAUAUAAAUAUAAUAAGUUGAAUUUUUUUACAAUAAGUAAAAACACACAAAGGUUAAAUUUGAACAACAGUCUCUUUUAUGUUCUUAUCCCAAAAAAAAGUGAACAAGAGCUUUCACCCUUUCUCUGUUAGUUUGUGUUUGGGUGUUAGUGAAGGUGUAUAUUGUAUGGCGCAGGAGACUGCAUGCACGUGAGUACACUGUUCAAAUGUAGUACAAAAAUUGAAAUGUUUGAAGGAAAAAAAAUCAACUUUGGUUUUAGGGAACCGUGCCCAUAAUCUUUUAACGUUCACGUGUAGUGAAACAACAUAAUAACUUUGUUCUCAUAUGAAAUGGAUUGGAGGAGAUGCUGGGUUUUGUUCUCUUUCUUGUUAGCUAUUUCUAGUUUUCAAAAUUCAAAUACAUUUCCAUGUUCUUUUUAGCAAUGGGUCCAAGGUGACUAAUUUCCAUGUUACUAACAGAAAAUUCUCUUCAUUAAUUGGUCAUGUUUCUCAUAUAGAUUUGCUAGAAAUUAUGUGAUAUAACGAAUUAUCUUGGUAGAAUAUAGACAAGUAUUGAGGUUGCUUGCAUUUAUUAAGUAGGCCCCAUAUUGAAAUUUUUGAGUAUUGACUUUCAUCAUAGUUGCAAACAAUUCUCUCUUUUAUUGAUCAAAGAAAGACCUCAAAUUAGAAGUUUGAUUUAGAAAUUCUUGGUUUGUUUCAAAUUUUGGCAUAAUCCCAUGGGCCCUCUACUUCAAUUGUAGUUUUCUUAAUUUCAACAUACUAUACUAGUUUCAAUUAAUUCCAAUUAAAACAAUUAGGUUACUCAUAUUCAUUACACAAAUAUAUGGGAUUAUAAUAUGAACUUCCAAAGGCGAACAUAACUAUUUUUGGUAAAUUUUAAUACAAUAUUAGAUAUGUUCUCCUUUUUACUAUAUAUGGUAGGGGUCUACAUUAUACCCACCCAAAAAAAUUGACAAUGAUAUAUAUAUGUUGCUUAAUUCUUUGUAAUUAAUUUUGGUGCAGGCGUGACAGUUUCAUCACUCAUAGGGCAUUUUGUGAUGCACUAGCACAAGAGAGUGUAUUAAGACACCAUAACCCUUUUGGGAGUACUCAUCAAUUGUAUGCCACAAACCAUCACAUUAGUUUAGGCCAAAUAUCCCAUCAAUUGCAAAAUCAUCAGAACCAAAUUACAUCAUCCACUAGCAACAAUAACAACCUUUUGCGCCUUGGAUCAGCACCACCAAAAUUUGAACAAAACUUAAUCUCAUCACCACCUUUAAAUCACUCUUCAUCAUUUGGACACUCAAUCCCAUCUUCAUCACCAUUCUUCAAUAUGAGUGAUAUUUCAAAUCAAUCCUUUGAAGAACAACAAUCUCAACAAGGACAAUUCUUAAACAAACAACUACAUGGUCUAAUGCAUCUUCCUGAUCUUCAAGGCAAUACAAAUACAAACAAUUCAAAUUCUUCCAAUCUUUUCAACCUUAUGGUUCAUGAUCAAUUCAACAACAUGAGUAGUACCCAAGGAACAACACUUUACAUUAACAACAAUAGCUCUUUAAGUGAUCAUCAAGUUGGUUUUGUCAAUUCAAUGCAACAUGGUCAAAACAUGUCUAGUCCUCACAUGUCUGCCACUGCAUUGCUUCAAAAAGCUUCUCAGAUUGGUUCAACUAAUUCUACCAACAAUAACAAAGGUAGUAAUAAUGAUCAUAAAUCAGGUGAUAGGGACUUUGUUGUGUCUGAUCACAACAACAUCAAUGCCACUUUUGGAAAUAGAAGUUCAAGUAUUGAAAAUGAUCAUGACAACAACGAUCUUCAUGGAUUGAUAAACUCUAUUGCAAAUGGAAACACAUCAUCCAUAUUUGGCAAUGAAAGCAAUCUUAAUAUGAGAUUUGGUGGAUCUGAUAAGUUAACUUUAGAUUUUCUUGGUGUUGGAGGAAUGGUCAGAAAUAUGAGUGGUGGAUUUUCACAAAGUGAACAACAACGUGACAUGAUGAAUACUAGUAUGGUUUCUUUGAAUCAUGACCUAAAAUCAGCACAUUCAAGUCAACAUUUUGGAAGCUCAAAUAUCUUGCAAUGAAGAUUGGGGUGAGAAAUUUAUUAAUUUAAGGAAAUAUUGCUUGUUAGUUACAUGUGAAUUAUUCAUUAAUUAAGUAGUAAACUUUGUUUCAAACAUUUAUUUAUUUUAUUUUUGUUUUCCUCAAAAGAAGUGCAGUUCAUUGGUAAAAUGAGGUUCCAAUUCUAGAAAUUACUACAAAUUACAAUCCCUUAUUUUAUUUUAACACGUCCCUUUCCUUAUUCUUUGCUCUCUAUGAUGUGAUAGAGAGAUGUAAUAAAUUCACUUUUGAAUUUCAUGUGUGAGCGAACAUGAGAUAAUAAAGUUUAUAGAAAAAAAAAAUUGAUUCAUUAUAGAUUUUCCUCUAAGAAAAUUAUUUCUCAAUCACAGAGGGUAAAAUUCCAUGCUCGAACCAAGAAAAAAUAUUCAACCUAACAAUUUCAGCAUUGUUAGUUGUGCUAGGUUUUACGGACCAGGACAUCAUCGUUGUCUACCAAUUUUUUUUUACAGAUUUGAGGCGAUUUAAUUUGGUUGAUAAACACGAGUAAAUUACUCAAAUGCCCCUUGGCAGUUAACUGCCGAAAUUUUAAAAAAUCGGCUGCAGUUAACUGUCGAGAAAUUUCAAACCUGAAAUUAAAUAAGGAAAUACACCUAUGUUUUCCUUAAUUAAAUUUAAAUCUUUAAUCCUUUUAAGGAAUUAAACAUAAUUAUUUUUAUGAUUUCAUUCAUAUGAUUUUGUUGCUAUAAAUGAAGAAAUAUGAGAGAUGAAUAAUAUCUGUAAUCGGUAGUUAAUAGACCUAAAAUGAUGAUUCAAUAAAAAAAAUGCAACAACAAAAACGUUACAAAUGAUAGAAUAAUUAUAUUUGUAAUUAUUAGUAAUUAAUUUCAUUGAUGUUGUUAUUAUUCAUAAGUUUGACUAACCUAUUAUUACUUUAUACUAAUAUUUUAGAUAUUAUUACUUUAAUUAACAUGAAAAACGCAACAACAAAAAAUAAGGGGGAUUUAUUGGAUUAAGAUUCUAUGGGAUUUUAAAAGAUUUUUUAAUUAUGAAAAAGUCUUGUGGUAUUCAAUCAAAACUUUUUGCAGCCGGUUCUUUAAAAUUUCAACAGUUAACUGUCGAAGGAUAUUUGAGUAAAUUACUCGUAUUUCUCAGUCAAACCAAAAGUGUGAACAGCAAUACUCAAUUUCAAAAACAUGUAUAUGCCACGGUAAAUAAAGCCAGUUGUUGACUUGUUGAUAGUUGUGUUGUUAUUACUUGUGUACAAAUGCUUACCAAACGAGGGUGGGAUGUUGGCACUCUGUUAUGUUAAGAAUCUUCACGUUUUGGCUAUAUUCCAAUGGAAGCGACAGAGCCUCAUUUCCGUUCAAUUUCAUCUUUGUUUUUUUAUAUACGACGUACAAAUACUAACUAACUAAAGGUACAUUAACUUUAAAAUAAAGCAAGAAAUUUUGUAGUAUUGCUUACCUAAUAUAUAUAUACCUUACUUUUAAAAAUACAUAUUAAAAUAUAUGUAAUAAAAAAUUAUAUUAAAUGCUAUAUAAAUGUUAAAUGUUAGAGUCUCACAUUGAAUAUGAGAAUAGUAUAACAAUAUGUUUACAAGUUAUUUAUAAUAGGUUCUUAAUAAUAAUACUAAAUAAAUAUCAAAACUUAUUUAUAUAGAAGUUAUUUUAGUAUUAUUAAGAGCCUAUACUUUUUUUUUGAGCAAAAGAGCCUAUACUUAAUUGAUAAGAAAUUGUUACCAAUAUACCAACUCCAUUAAGUACCAUAAAUUUGAGAAAGAGACCUUGCAUAUUUUUCAGGUGAUUUUGUUGACAUCUUUUUCUCUUAACACUAGGAAGGACCCUUUAGUUUUUCAUUGUAAUAUAAAUAUUCUUGUACAAGUUGACUACCUUUGAAUUUGCAUGUCGUCGUUGAUGGCUAUAUAUAGGGUUAGAUCUAACGUCAUUGUUCAUUUGGUGGAAGAUUUUUAUGAGGAGUGUGUGGUACAUAACAUAUGCAACAUAAAUAACAUAUUAGCAGUAGUCUCUGCAAUGUUCGUUAUUGUAAUUACUGGUAAAAUAGCUGCGACACUUUUGUCGCAUGUAAAUUCCUUCUUCACAUGGAAAUCACCCGUCCGUGAGUGAGUGAAUGAAUGAGUGACUAUUAACCAACCAACCCAGUCAUUUCAUUUCGCCUUCACUCUCUACCCGUUACAGUUUUUCUAACUUUCUUUCUUUAGAUUGAGUAACUUCAAUAAUGCAAUGCAACUAAAGAUUAUUACUUACAACUUCUAUGCUCAAAUAAUUGUUGCAAUGCAAUUAAACACUCACUCAUGCGUGUCCCCGUGAGCCUAAUCCAGUUUGUAGAGACAUUGCAUUAUAUAUAUAGAGGUUGGGGUUCAAACUCAAACACUCUACUUAUUCACCUUAAAAAAAAUGAAUUUAAGUCAAUUGGCUACCUGACUAAAAAAAAACGCACUCAUAUGUUUUAUUUCAUAAGCUGGUUUUAGACCUUUUUAUCUGAAAAACUUAUCUCACAUUGUAGUUGAUAUGUAUGGUUAGACCUUUUGUGAGGUUUGUGUGUCCCCUAGUCUAUCACUCUCUCACAGUUAAACUACUUUGUUUUUGAGAGGUUUGUAUACCUUACUUAAAAACAACUAUCAUUCUCUCAUCAAUUUCAUCAUUAAGCUAUUAAAAUUAACUAAAAAGUACCUAAACUAUUCUCACAUAUAACUAUUAGCCCCUUGGUUGACAAAGUUAAUUUUUUUUAUGAUGGUUUAUGGACUAAAUUGAUAUAUUUUUUAUAGUUUAAAGAUCUUCUAGUUGAUUUUAAUAACUCGAAGGCUAUAUAUGUGAAAAAAUUGAUAGUUUAAGGAACAAGUUGAUUGUUUAUUCUUAAUUUGAUUGAAGUCUACUGGCACACAAAUUUACAAGGAUACGGUGGAUAUGGGGAAGUUAUACCUGAUAUCCCUACAUUUAAUCUUUUACCCCCUACAAAUUGUUGAAAAUGCCAAAUUUACCUUUUAUCAUUUCACUUCACCCUGCAUAAAAUUUUAGCCAACAAUACACUUCCGAGAUUUAAUACUCCAAUUUUCGGAAUAUUCAUAUCAAAUUUUUAUGGUAGAUUAAUUUGUAAACCGGAACAAUUGAGUAAAGAAUUAUUAUCAGAAUUCUUUCUUCUUUCAUCGAGGUUUGAGAGACAAUGAAAGAUGGAAAAUAGAAUACAACAACCUGUAUUAGUUAAUAUAAAAUUAAGUGCAAAGCAAAGAUCAUGAUACCAAACCUCAUCAAUUCUUCUUCCAAUUCAUUUUAUUUAGAUCUAAAAAAAUGAAAGGCCGUAUAUUUCUGGAGUAGAAUUUUAGAUGUAAGGUUGGGAAAUCAAAAAACCUGGCUAAAACUGCAGAAACCUGUUUUCUGAAUUCUUUCUAAAAAAACAGUGUAAAAAAAUGCUUGUCUCUUUAUCUGUAGAUCUAAAAAAAAAUCAUUUCUAAUUCAUCUUGUUUGGAAAUAUGAAUACGAAAAGUUGUAUAUUUUAAUUUUUUUUAUUUUUACAAAAUACCGUUGUUGGGAAUGUGAAUAAUCUAAGAUUAAAUGUAGGGGUGGUAAAAGAUUAAAUGUAGGGGUAUAUGGUAUAAUAUCCUGGAUAUGGUAGGCUUAUAUUACUUAGAACCCAAAUCAUGUUACUUAGGCCCGUCAUCAUGGACUUUUUUCAUGUGGUUUCCAUGCAGGCUAGUUGAAUAUUGCUCUUUAGGCAUCCAUGUUUUGCUCUCAGACAUUUUGAAAUUAUUAUUUUACCUCAAUGAAAAUUAAUUACCAUUUGUUGAUGAACGAUGGUUAGUUUUCAUUCUCUUAUGAACAGUAGUUAAUUGUCGUUCUAGGGCAUUUUAUGUGGUUCAGAUUGCGCAGACAGUUUUUGUGGUCCACGAUACAUAAAAACUUCUAUAAAUUGGUGUGUUUGGUUCAUUUGAAACCACACCACAAAAUCAUGAAUAUUUAUCUAGUAGAUCCGAACACCAAAUUAGCGCAGUUAACUACAACGGGGAAAACUCAAUAUGUUUAGGGUUCAGGUUAAUGCUAUAUCGGUUGACUUGAAGGAACAUAGUUGGACCAAAUUAACAGUCGACUCAACCACAAAGACACAAGAAAGGUGGAAAGUGUUGAGUAUCGUCAUCCAUUCGUUUGACUCAUAUGAAAGCGUCAAGUUCACCCAUAUGAAGUUCAAGAACAACGACAUCGUGAGAACCAUCAAGUUAGACGCUUCAUUGGUCAAAUAUUUUUUAGAUGUUCCGGAAAGUUUGAUUCAGAUUAGGACCUUCAAAGAAAACAGGACUUGCAUGGAUAGACCAAAAGAAAUAAGUAUGUCUUAUUCGUGAUUUUGUAUGUGUUUUAUUAUGUUGUUAAAUUAUGUUAGUGUAUUGUGUUUUAUUAUGUUUAAUGUAUGUUUUUGUUAACUUAUGUCAUUGAAAUUAUGUUAAUGUAUUGUAUUUUAUUAUGUUUAAUGUAUGUUCUUCUGAGCUUUCCUUUGUAACUAAUGAUUAACUACAGUUUCUUCUGAAAACAACAAUUAACUAUUGUUCCUAGAAUGGGAGUUAACUCUUGUUUAACAACGAAAAAUAAUUAAUUAUUAUUUCGGAUAAAAUAGUCAAUUUGAGACGUGUUAAAACAAAGUAUGAGUGUCUAACGAACAAUUUUCAAGAUAGUUUAGUCCUUUUUGGGUUCUACCUUUUUUUUUUAUGAGUAACUUCUACACCUAGUUUCCAUUCUUUUUUGUGUUAAUUGUCCGAUUUCUUAGCAUGUGCGUAACUCACGCAGCGUGACUUAAGUCACACAUGUGUAAAAACUAAGUCAUGUAUUUUUUACACUUGCGCUAAUUAACUAACGCAAGGGUAUUUUCGGCAACACUGCAGGGCGCGAGUGUUUUGUGUUGGGUGAAGAGCAGAAUUCUAAAGUCAUAUAUAUAUAUUAUGGUUUUAAAAGGGUAAUUGCUAAAUCAGAUUCAUAGGAAGCAACUAAGUUAAUAUUGAAAGGGCAUGGUAAAGGGCACCCUUGUUCUCAUAUCAUUUCUCAUAUUUCUAAUUUUCUUGUCUAAUUCAUGAGUUACAAGUUUCAACGUGUCUAACGUGAAGCCAACAAAGUCGUGAAUGCUUUUGCAAGGAAUAUCCAACUUCAAAGUAUUAGCGCAGCUUUAACUUGAUGAACAAACUUAGAGUUUUCUAGGGUUUUAAUUUGAUUUUGUUGAAAUAGAGAGAGAAUGAGAAGAAUGGGUGAAUGAGGAGACAAGAAGUAUUAAAGUUGUGAUUUCAUUUAUAUGUAAAAAUACACAUGAAAGUAGCUUAUAUACAUGGUUUUUUGCUAGGUUACUUGAAGUACAAGUCAUAUAACAAACCCUAAAUACCUUAAGCUAAAAUCUAGUAAAUUUGUAACAAACUAUUAACAAACUAAACUAACUAGAUUUCUAAUGUGAUUAACCAAACAAGCUUGAUUAGAUCACUAACAAACUUGAAUUAUCAACUAACACAAAGUUGCGAUAAUAUAAAAAUAAUAUCAGAACUAGUCUCUCUUCAAAUGAAUGAUGCAUCACAACUUAUCUUUCUCCUUUGAUGGAAAAAUUUGUUCUAAUACCAAUUAUUGAAGGAAAAAAAUCAAUAAAAAAUCUUUAAACAAGCGGGAACACAACCACAAAAUAAGUAAAAGAGAUAAAAACAAAUCACAAGCCUAUUUUUCGAUACUUCACAGUUCACACCUUCAUUCAUAAUAUCUUAACAAAAUAUUUGUUACAAAAAUAUGCAUAGUUUUACUAGGAAUUGCAAACCCUCUUGUACAAUUAUAAUUUUUGCACAGAAAUAUUGCAAACUAAUCUUUCUCAAUUACAAUUUUUGUAAGAAAAACUACAAACUCUUUCAUGACACACAACUACCCAACCUCUUUUUUUUUUUUUUUUUUUUUCAUUACUCGAUGUGCGAUGUGAAAGAAUAUCAAUUUUAGAGAACAAAUGGCUAUAAUUUAUAGGUGGCCUUUAUGAUUUUUGGCACAAAUUUUCAUACUGUGAAAUGUGAAUAGAUGCAUGUGCAGAGAUGGAGUUCAUAAUUUAAAUCUUACGUUAAAAAUAAAACAAGUUUUUAAUGUUAUAGUUUAAAAAUAAAAAAUUGUUUCUUAUAUACAAUAUUUUUAUGAAUAUUUACAUAGUUCUUAAAAAAAUUAAUAAUGAAUGGUAUAUUCGUGUCCUGUAUGACACAAUGAAACAUAUGCACAUGAUUAAAUUAUACAUUAAGCCUAAUCAUAUGAUCUGAAAAGAUUUUCUCUACAUUUCGUCGAGCUAGCAAGGUAGAUAGAUGUCAACUAAUAAGUUGAUGAAAUCGGCUAAAAAAGAUUCCCAGUUGAAGUUUAUUAUUUUUUUGGUGCAACCCAGUUGAAGAUUUUAUUAACUUUGAUGAUGGCUCUGAACUACCAAGUUUUCUAGAACUUGAACAAGUCCUUAAUUUUAGUUGAAUUGCAAUACUAUGUCUAUAUGUAUAGUAUACCGUUUCUGGUUUCAUAGUCUGUUAAUUUUAAGGAAUUUUUUCAAGUGGCUCAAAAAAAACAUAUACAGUACAUUCUUUAGUUUUAUUUACAUCGUUUUCAAUCUCUUUCGCUUUUUUAAAUAUUUACGCAGAAAACAUUUUUUUUUUUUUUUCAAUCAGAAAGAGGCAAAAUUAAGAUUUGCAUUGGUUUUAGUCAUCACCUACUACAUUAAAUUACUAUUUGUGGAAAAUAUUGUUUAUAGCGUGAAACUGUGCUCUGACUGGCUCACAUGCAAACGGACAGUGGCAAUAUUGUUUAAGGAAGUAUUAAUCUUUUUUUUUUUUUUUUUUUUGACAGAAACCAUAUAGUAUUAAUCUAUUAUUACUACUAUAUAUGCAUAAAAAAGGACCAAUUAACCGACAUGCUUUGAGUUAUUUUGUGUUUUUUUUUUUUAUUGUUUCUGAAAAAAUCAACCAACAUGCUUCUUUUUUUGCGCUAACUAAAACUAAUUUAUUUAUGCUACUAAUCAAUUUAUUAAGACUAAAACUUGAGUACAAGUUAGUCUUUUUUUUUGUAGUUGGUGACCUACAAGUGGUACUCUUGUACUCAUUAUACUCAAAGUCAAGGGUACAUGCGUAUGUGUUAUGCUGAAUUCGAAAAUUCAUAGUCAAGACCCAGCAAUAUCAAGAUAUAUACACACAUGUCCUAAAGUGCAUUCUGGAGAAUAAGAACUACAAGUCUAAAGUUUUUCUUUUUGUUAGUAAAGUUAUUUUAGUCCAAGUUUAGACUAUACAACGCUGACUAUGAAAUAUGAAAGGAAAAAAAAACCUUCAAUUUUUGUCAAAAAAAUAAAUUCCAUUGUCUCUAACUAAUUAUUGAAAUUUUAAACAUGUGUUUGGUCUAACGGUAUGGUAGAAAAAAUCACGGCAAAAAUUCACGGUAACUACAAAAUCUAAAAAUUUGUAAUUUCUUUGAAAUUUGAGUUUGUAACUUCGAACGUCAAAUAAUCGUUCAUUAAGUCUCUAAAGCUCACAUGAUCAGACCAGCUUUGAUUGCAAAAUAUGACCAACUAAUUACUAAUAAACAUUUAAUUUUGUUAGCAGAUCAAUUUAUCUGUUUAAUGUUAAAAUAAAUCUGAUCCAAUUCAAUACUUUUGGACAUAGAUUGAAAUGGUUUCCCCCCCCCCCCCCCCCCCUUUUUUUUUUUUUUUUUUGUAAACUAGGUAUCCUCCGCGCGCAACUGCGGAGACUAAUCCCUCGAGCAUUGUGAGACCCAAAUGGACGGCAGACUCUCCCUAAGAGUUUUAACGCUGCUGGAGGUAUUGUAAAUAAUAUUUUGUGUUAUAUUAUUUUUAAGAGUGUAUAUUUCUAUAUAAAAAGAGUGAGUUUUGCCUUCAACCUCGAGGUAAUCGGUUUGAGACCUAGGCACUGAGAACAUGAGUUUUUUCGAUUAGCUCUUUAAAAAAUUAUUUAUAGGAGGAAUAAUUGUUUUUAUGGAAUUUGUCGUGUAAUAAAAAUCUAAAUCGUCUAGUCUACAAUUUUGUAUAGUCUUCAAUUAUGUUGUGAAUUCGGGCUUUGAAACUUCACACCAAUCCAAACUAUGAUGUGUGGAGAAAGUAUCAAUGGCAACCAACAACCAAAUUAACCAUAAGCAAUAACAAUAAUAUAUACCAAGUCUAUAAACCAAGUGCAUAGCAAAAUCACAAUCCAACCAAAUAAUAAACAAGAUAAAAGAGUAAAGAAAAAUAGACAACAACACCAAGAGAUUGUUCACCCAGUUCGGUCCAACCAUGACCUACUCUGGAGGAGAGAUUGAUCUCUUCAAUCCACUAUCAAUGAGUUCUUACAAAGAGAUACAAAUGAGUUACAAGAAAUUAGCUUCAACAAGCUCACAAAAAACAACCCUAAUUUCUACCAAUUUUCCCAAUCUCACCAAUGAACAAGACACUCAUGAUUUUUACUCUCCCAAGGUGUUUACAAUUGUUUCACAACUCUAGAAUCUAACCCCCAAAAGAGAACCAACUCUUAGCCUUUGAUUUCACUUAGGAUCUUCUCUUUUGGUUUCACAAGACUCACCCAAGUUGCUCGCAAAUGACUCUCCACUCAUGUGUUUCCCAACCCCAUGAAUCUUCUCCAAAAGGCACCAACCCUUUUCACAAGAGCCCCCUCUUUUGGUUCUCCAAGAUUCACAUCUUGAAGCUUUGAACCUCACCCAAAGACCCUCAACCUUUAGUAUCUAAAACCCUAAAAGUUUCAUCCUUUGGUUGUUAUGGGAUUCACCAAGCUUACCCAACAAAUGGAUCAGGGAGUGUUUAAAACAUGUUUCAGAUCUGUCAAAAUCGUGUCACAUUUUGCCUUCAGAACCAAACAUGCAUUCGGCAUCAGAAAUCGUGACACGGUUGCCAAAUCGUGUCAUGAUUCUUCACUUUCAUAAAGACUUAAUUUUGAGUCAUAUAUAUACCAACAAAUUCAAAUUAUAUAAAUGGACGGUAUAUUCUUUAGUAAAAGUAUUAUUUCACAAUUUAAUACGUAUUAUUAAAAGAAAUUAGAAACAAUUAUCAAAAAAUUAUGAUAGAUAAUAUAUUAAACUCGUCUAGUGUGUGUGUAUUUUUGAAGGAUAGUGUGUGUGUGUAUUAACAUCAUUCUCUAAUUAUUUUUGUAGGGAAACAAUGUUGGUUAAAUUGAUGUGUACUUUUUUUUGUAAAAAAUAAUCGACGUAUUUUUAAAUGAGAUUUACAUGUAGAGAGAGACAGCGGUAGACAUAGUAGUAGAACAAUUAAAAUUUAAAAGACCACUUUACAAAUUGCACCAAGUGGUCCUCUAAAAAAGAUCACCGACAGUUGCUUCACUUUACCUUCAUAUAUUUUAGAGCAAUGAUAUUUGAACAAUUAUUUAGUACAACAUUUUUUGACAAUCUUCUUUUUCUCUCUUUUUAUUGGUCAAAAAUAAUGAAGAGAAAAAAGAAGAGAUAGAGUAAAAAUAUAAUAUGAAUAUGAGAAAAAAAAUUGUCUAAAAAUUAUCACAAAAUGGUUGUACAAAUAUUAUUUCUCCAUAUUUUAGACACAGGCUAAUCAUUAAUUAAUUUGUGUAAAAAAAAACAAUAAUAUUAUUUUGACAACAUUAUUCAACACCUUAUCUUUCUUUCAAAAAACAUUAUUCAACACCUUAUGUUCAUAUUAUCAUUUGAUUUUCUUAAUUAUGUUUUACAUCAGUCACAUCAAGUGACAUUUUACACGCUUAUCAAUUUUUUUUGUCAAGUAGCCUAGUGUUUAGAACUCAUAUAAUUUAAUUGUGAAGAAAUGAAGUGUCAGAGAUUCGAACUCCAACCCCUGCAUAUAAUAUGCAAUAUCCCUACCAACUGAACUAAGCUCACGAAGAUCGCGGUUAUCAAUUUUUGUAGUUCAAAUAACAUCACUAAAAAAAGCUACGAGGCAGACGCACAAAUUUUCAUUGAGCAGUUGUGUUAAUUAAUUUUAUAACGCAAGGAAAAUGGUGAAGUUUUUGUGAAUAGAGAAAUGAUAUAUAUACAAUCAUUUUCAAACAACUUUUGUAAUAACUUUAUCUCUCAUUUUUAUAUUUUAUUUUUAUUUUUUUCUCUAUUAUUUUGGUUUUCGUUUAUGAUUUUUUGUAAGAAAAUGAUUGUCUAUGUAGUUAUCAAUCACAUUGAUGUUCAAAUAACAUUGCUUUUGUGAAUAAUGCAAAAUAGUUUCUCGGAACAAUCAAUUAUUCAAUUGAUAUUUACGAAAUUAGUUUUUGUAGGGUGUCCCUAUAAAUCACAUAUACUUUAAAACAGUCAUAUGUAUUCACGAUUCGAGAUCUUAUAAAAAAACCAUUCCAGAUCAUGUAUGAAAAUGAAAUAUAUAUUUUUUUUGACUGGUGUAUGAAAAUGAAAUAUUUUCAAAAAUAAAAUAUACUCUCUGCCCAUAUAAUGUCAGCGUAGGUGUCGGUGUUUUUCUACCGACUAUAAGAAAAACUGUAAAAUAAAUAAAACAAUAUAGUAAUUUAAAUUAGUGAUUGUAAAUUAUUGUCUUAAAUGUAUAGUUCAAUAUAAUAGAUUAAAAAUGAUGAAAAAAAUAUUAAUUUAAGAGUAGAAUUGAAAUAACAUAUAUGUUUUCGAUAGUUUAACUAAAUUGAUAAAGACAUUGCAUAAUAAUAUACAAGUGUUUUGAAAUUCCAUUUAUUCAUUACAUGUGAAUUUUUAGAUAUUAAACUAUUUGGAAAAUAAAAUAAAAUAUCAAAUAAUUAAGGUUUAAAUAUGUAAGUAGUCCCUGUAAUUUCGCGUAUUUUUGUUUUCGUUCCUGUAAGUUAUUUUGUUCUAAAACAAACUCUGUAUUUUGCUAACCUUUUGGAAAAGGUCCUUGCCGUCAGCUUCCGUCAACAAAAACGCCAUGGUGGCUAACGGAGCACACGUGGCAGUUCAUGAGUUGGCAAAGUUGAUGAGAUGGAAUGAGAGAUGAUAAGUUGUUAAAAUACAGGGACUAAAAUCAAAAACGUAAAUUGACACAGGGAUGAAAUUAAAAAAACGUUUAAUCUUCUUUUUCCUCUCAAAUUUCAGUCUUCUUCUUCCUCUCAAACUUUCCCCAAUCUAUCCCAUACCUUGCGCCCUUGAACCAAAACUCAUAUCCUUCAACAAUUUAUUCUAAUUCCAUUACUCAAUCAUAUUGUGUGUUUUGAUUGUAAUGUUAAGUUGAAACAUUGUAUGCUACUUAAGUUUGAUUAAUUUAGUGAUGGUUGUUGCGAUUGAUUGCAAAUUCAUUCAUAAAGUUUGUAGAUAAUAAAGGCAAGAAUACAUCUUUUUCAUCCCUCUUUUUUUUCCACAAUUCCCUCUUAUUCUUCCAGAUUGCUACAAUUACCAUACAUAAAUAGUCAGAUCCCCUUUCAUCUUUUCUCACUCACAUUCAAAUUCAAACUCUAAUUUCUCAAAUUUUUGCUUUUGAAUUGUGUAAUUUUGUGUUUUUAUGUAAUUGGUGUAGAGAGUUUAUGUUGUUUUAAUGUGUUGAUUAAGAGUGGGUCUUGUUGUUGUUGAUUGAUGAUUAUUAGUUUUGUUUAAAAAAAUAUAUAUGUUUGUUGUUUUCUUUCUUUUCCUGGGUUUGGUGUUGAUGAUUUAUGAAUAUGGUGAUGAAGAUGAAGAAGACAAUGAAGGAAGAAGAAGAAUAAGAUCUUGAUUUUAAAUUUGAAAUUUUGAUUUUACGUUUUUUAUUUUAGUCCCUGUGGUAAUUUACGCUUUUGAUUUUAGUCCCUGACUUUACACAACUAAUCAUCUCUCAUGCCAUCUCAUCAAAUGUGCCAAGUCAUGACCUGCCACCUGUGCUCCGUUAGCCACAAUGGCGUUUUUGUUGACAGAAGCUGAUGGUAAGGACCAUUUUCAAAAGGUCAAAAAGAUACAAGGUUUAUUUUAUAUAAAAAAAAAAACUUACAAGGACGAAAACAAAAAAUACGCGAACUUAGAGGAACCUUUUACAUAUUUAAGCCAAUAACUAAUAGCACUUAUUUUGGUACAUUUCUCUUUUGCAAAUGUGAAACUUAAUAUUGGAUGGGGUCAAUAAUUUUGAGAAUGAAUAAACCCAUUAUUUAGUCUUUUAAUUUUUUUUUUCCAUCCAUCAGGUUUCUAAACUAUUUACAAACACUAAAUGUCCUUAAGACAUAGCUCAAGUAACAAUAUUGAUAUUGAGAAGUUGGAUAUUUUCAUCCGAGUUUGAACUCGAAUUCUUGCAAUUACGAGUGUGAAUUUCAGGUAAUUUAUAUCAAUUUAUCUGUAAACAAAAGGAGAUAUAUACGCGUAACAAAUAGGUCUAAUGCAAAUUAACAACUUAUUUUUAGUUUAUAAAAUAUAUGAAAUUUAAUCCUUUAGUCCCUAGUAUAUUUUAACAAUGGGCACUAAAGCAACAUAUAUUUCAUAUAUUUUAAAUACUACUACAUCUUUCCUUAUGUAUAAGCUCAUUUGACAUUUUCACAUAUAUUAAAAAAGUUAGUAGUGUCUUGACAAAAAAGAAGCUCCUUAGAGUUUCCUUAUGUAUAUUUUUUUAAACCGAAAAAAUUGUGUACAAAAAAUGACUAUUAUUACUAAAAAAAAUCUUUUGCAUAUAGAUGUGUUCAACAUUUAUUUUGCAAUUCUCAAGACAAAUCAGUGGUACAUCUUAAUAAGUGAUAUAUUUGUUAGGAAAAAAAAUUACUAUAUGUAUCUAGUUAUUUGCAAGACUAAUGAUUCUUAGCAAAUAUGCUUAUAUUGAGAGAACUUUUUUCUAAAGAGAGCUUAUAAUUAGAGACUAAGAUUUUGCCAAAAAAUAAAGAAAAAUUAGAGAAUAAGGUUUAUACUAUACUUUAGAAACUAAUUUGAUGAGAUACGACUAAAUCGAAGAUAUAUUUUUUUAGAAUAGUGUUAGAACCUUAGAAAUUAUAAUCAAUAGAAAUAGAAAUGUUCCUUACAGAUCCAUAAUAGUGACAAUCUUGUCUUUUCUUUUGAGGAAAUAAUAAUAAAGGUGGUGCCAACAUUUCAACAAACCUAGCUAUUUUAAUUAUUCUGUUCUCACAGCCUGCACCUUAGAUCAAAUCCAAAUUGGGUCAUCACCGUUCCAAAAUGCUUAGGGACGUUACUCUAAAUGUCAAUAUGAAUGAGUAAUUCAAAUAGUUAACAUAGCCCGCCAGCCUUAUAUAAUAAUAUCAAUAUAUGUCGACUAAUUAUCGAGAUGCUAAAUUGGAGUACACUUCACAAACAAAAAUCUUUCAUAAGGCGUUUUUUCUCUUAAUACAUUUUUUCUUUUCUUAUGCUAGUAACAUUUACUCUGUAUUGGCCUUCCUAAGAAGAAGUUGGAUAGUAGCAAUGUGUUCGUGAGACUGCUGAUAUCUUAAAAGAAUGUUCUCAUAGAUUCCACUUUUUUAGUAAGCUUUUAUGUGUAUGAGUUUGCAAAUUUAACCCUUUUUAAUUCGGAUAGAUUUAUAAGUCACACCUUCAAGUACAAUCGACAAAAUUUCAGUAAUAAUUACGGUUUAGGGUUUAUGGGUCUAGAUCUACUAAAAAUGAGUGGGUGUAUAAAUUAGUAUAUCCUAGAGUUUAUUAUCUUACGUUCGAUCUUCUUUGCAGAAACUCGUGCAUGUUCGUGAUAUAUAUUUUCGCGAGAAGUACAUUUCCCUAAAACAAAAUCAACCACUGACAUAAACACGUCAAAUGUAAGCCGGUAAAUCCAAGCUUUACUAACACGAGUUAUAUUAUAUCAUUGGCAUCAGCUACUUAAGAACUACUGUAGAAAAUUUACAGCAAGUCAUCGAGGCUUAAUAAAAUGUGUUGAUAUAGUUACAAAGAUAAAUUAAAUAGCAGAGCAUACAUGAAGAGAACAAAUGUAGAGCAACCCCUUAAACAAACCCUCUCAGUAAGGUAUCUUCACAUUACUCUAAGUUCAUAAAAGAUGACUUUAAAAACGAUUAUUUCAAAAUGCAAGUAUUCUCCGACCCCUUUUUCCCGGAUCUAGAUCUAAUAGUGUAAGGAUAUAUAUAAAUCAUUGUCACAUUUUACAACUCAAGAGUUUACCUCAACUCGUUUUGUUUAGGUAAAUUCGACUCGAGAACUCGUAUGACUUUACCUAAAAUUAAAAUUAUAUAAAAUUUAUUAUAUAUGCAUGACAUAUGUAAGUUAAUAUAAUAUUGUAAAUAGGUCAAUAGUGCAAAAUAUGACUUAAUUACAAAGACAAAUUAUACCAUAAUAAAAUGUUAUGCUCAACUUAGCUUCAAAAUACAAAAAUUAACGCACAAAAUCAUAAGUCUCUAAGUUUAAGCCAUCCAUAAAACCAUCCAAAAAAAGAAAGUUUCACAAGUUCCUAAAGUUAUUAAUAAAACUAUCUAAAAAAUAAAGUAGUUAAUUUCUUCAAAACGUCAACAAACACCACCACAACAACCCUAACCAGUGUCACAAUCACCGGCGUUGAAAUAUGAAUUUCCACCGUCUGAAUCACAACCCUAAAUGGUAUGUGCUCCCCUGUUCAUGGUUUGAGAACUUAGAAAAGAAAAAGGGCAAUCCGGUGCACUAAAGCUCCCACAUACGCAGGGUCCGGGAAGGGGUCCCACCAUUUUUUGUGUAUUGUACGCAACCUUACCCUGUUUUUGAUCACAAAAGAAAAAGAAACGUUUCAUUUUAGGAACAACUUGUCACUGUAAAGGUAACUAUUAAUUAAACGUUUCAGUCUUUGGGGUUGUAGAAAAGGAAUUGGAUUUUGAAAAAAAUGGGCACAUAAAAAGGGCCAAUUUUUAGAUGUAAACUCGUAAAACUCAGUAAACUCGGUCGAGUUUACACGAGUUUACCUAGUGUUAACUCGGUCAAACUCGUUAAACCUUCCAAUUUUACCAGAAACCGAGUUUACCUCCGAAUUAACAUGAUUUUGGCACCUACGUAAACUCGAAGAGUUAACACUCAAUUUGCGGAACAUUGCAUAUAUAUUUAAAGAUAUAUGUAUAAUUAUAGAGAAAGUAGAGAAGGGAUAUACCAUUUUAUGUAGGGUUAUUAUGUAUCAAAUCAUAAAGAGUCGAGAGUUGUAUUAUACCAUAAUAUUCUUCCGUAAACUGGUAGUCAUGAUCAUGACGUAUAUUAUUCAAGUAUAUGCAAAAACAUGUCUGUAUCUAGUCUAAAUUUUUGACCAAAUGCAUGUAUUUGCUUAUAUUUUGUUACUACUUACUACUCGCCAAGUAAUGCUCAAUAUCUAAUAUAUAUAUUUCAAGACCAUCAAAGAUAACUCAGUUGAACAAUACAUAAUAUAUGCAAGGUUCGGGGUAUAUUACAUUUUCAAUUAUUCUAAUAAUAAAUUUAAAUGACACUUAAAUUAUACAACUAUUAAAUAGAUCUUAGUACCGUAAAAUUUAUAUUCGAGACUUGCUAGGGAGAACCAUCAACCUCAACAAAAAUUUCUACUUGAAUCUAACGCAAACAAAAGGUCCAACCAUCUAUGAAUCUCCGUUGAUAUCACAAAUGAUGUUUGAUACAAGAGAGACAUAUUAGAACAUAAUCUAUGUACAAUCUACAUUAAAAUAAAAAACAAGUCUACAGUCAUAUAAAUAACACAAUUUCAAAAUCUCAAAAUUAGGUAUGAAAACAAAAUGAUUAGAAAAAUAAAUGAUUCAAUCAUUCCGAGAUUUGUGCAAAAAAAAAAAAAAAAACAUUUUGAAAAUACAAUGUUAGAAACUUAUGAUCAAUAUAUAUUUUUCCUUACACAUCAAAAAUAAUUAAGCUAUAUUCUUGUCUUUUCAUUUUGGGCAAACUAAAAUUAAAAUCAAGGUAGUGUCAAUGUUUCUAUAGUCCUAGCUAUUUGAUUUUCUUCUAAGCUAACAAGAGUCUUCCAAAAUCAAAUUCGCGCUCAAAAUUAAAGCAACUUGGGUGGUAACCAUUCCAAAAUACUUAGGGCCACAUUGCUCUAAAAGUCAAUAAGAAUAAGUAAUAAUUCAAAGAUAGCCAACCUUAUAGUAUAUUUUAAUAUGAAUGUAUGCAUGUUUCCUAGAAGGUGAGUAAGCUAACUAAUCAAGAUACUUUGUUGGAGUUAAAUAUGGUAAAGAAUCCAACUAUAAAAUGGGGACUUGCCCCAGCAUUCUUUCACAAACCAAAACCAACUUCUAAGAAAAAAAUGAGGUCCCUAAUGGCCUCUGCUUCUCUCACUCUUGCAUUAGCCAUCCUCUUUUUGAGUUUCCCAUCUGAAAUUUCAGCAAACAAAUACGCAUAUUCCUCUCCACCACCACCACAUUACUCAUCUCCUCCACCUCCACCGGUUCACACUUACCCUAAACCAGUCUACCACUCUCCACCACCACCAGUUCACACCUACCCUAAACCAGUUUACCACUCUCCACCACCACCAGUUCACAAGUACCCUCACCCUAAACCAGUAUACCACUCUCCACCACCCCCAGUUCACAAGUACCCUCAUCCACACCCAGUCUACCAUUCUCCACCACCCCCAGUUCACAAGUACCCCCAUCCUCACCCAGUGUACCACUCUCCCCCACCACCACCACCAAAGAAGUCCUACAAAUACCCAUCUCCCCCACCACCACCAGUUCACACCUACCCUAAACCAGUCUACCACUCUCCUCCACCCCCAGUUCAUCACACCUACCCUAAACCAGUCUACCACUCUCCUCCACCCCCAGUUCACACCUACCCUCACCCUAAACCAGUCUACCACUCUCCACCACCCCCAGUUCACACUUACCCUAAACCAGUCUACCACUCCCCACCACCACCAGUUCACACCUACGUCCCUCACCCUAAGCCAGUCUACCACUCUCCACCACCACCAGUUCACACCUAUCCCCCACAUGUUCCCCACCCAGUUUACCAUUCUCCUCCUCCUCCAGUUCAUUCCCCACCUCCACCACACUAUUACUACAAAUCACCUCCUCCACCUUACCACAACUAGAUAGCCCAUAAUUGGCAUCACACCAUAUGGUAACUUUUCAUGCAACAUAUAUAUUAUAACUUUUCAUAUUCUCUCUUUAUUAACUAGUUAUCGGUAUGAUUGUCGAGUAUAUACUAACAAGGCUAAUUUGAAAUGAAACUUCAUGUGCAAUGAAACAUUCUUUUACUGGUUAAUAUUUUAUUCUAUGUUUCAUUGAAAUUAAUAUUUUUCUAAUAGUAUUUGGUUAUUAAGGGAUUAGAGUAUAUCAGACAUAAACUGACAGAUCAAUAUAUUUGC
rnacentral:lncRNA from 1 species